rnacentral:misc_RNA from 1 species
GCCUUGGCCAAUCUUCGCUUUUCAUCAUCUGAUGUCCUGAUGCUACCAGUAGUUUGGCCAUCGUCCAUCAUGAAAGAAAGUAGUCCAGUAAGAAUGCUUGAUACAGACCAAAUAGGAUUCCAGCUCUCUGGGUGAAAGUCACUCAUUGAUAAACAAAUUUUCUUGUGGGGAGCGAAUCUUCCAUUGGGAGUAAUCAUGCUGAUACUAGGAGGCUUGUAAGGAUAUUCUGGUGGAAAUUUAAUUUUGCCAUAGUAAUAUCCACCUGCAAAAGGGGUUCCUUCACUUCCUUCAAGGACAUAAUGCCACUCAAGAAUAUCACUAGGCAAAGGACGGGCAACAACCUGGGGAACCGGCUCCUUACAAAGUGCAUGAUAUUCUUUUUGCAAACGUUUGACGCAAGCCCUCUCUGCCAUUAGCAAUAACUUCCCACGGGAUUGACAAGCUCAGAAGGACAAGUCCAA